UACGUAGGUGGCAAGCGUUGUCCGGAAUCAUUGGGCGUAAAGGGCGUGUAGGUGGGUUUUUAAGUCGUGUGUCUAAGUGCGGGGCUCAACCCCGUAUGGGCGCAGGAAACUGGAGAUCUUGAGUGCAGGAGAGGAAAGUGGAAUUCCCAGUGUAGCGGUGAAAUGCGUAGAUAUUGGGAGGAACACCAGUGGCGAAGGCGACUUUCUGGACUGUGUCUGACACUGAGGCGCGAAAGCCAGGGGAGCGAACGGG
rnacentral:rRNA from 1 species